AUUGAACGCUGGCGGCAUGCUUUACACAUGCAAGUCGAGCGGCAGCGCGGGGGCAACCCUGGCGGCGAGCGGCGAACGGGUGAGUAAUACAUCGGAACGUGUCCCGUAGAGGGGGAUAGCCCGGCGAAAGCCGGAUUAAUACCGCAUAUGCUCUACGGAGGAAAGCAGGGGAUCGCAAGACCUUGCGCUAUGGGAGCGGCCGAUGUCCGAUUAGCUAGUUGGCGGGGUAAUGGCCCACCAAGGCGACGAUCGGUAGCUGGUCUGAGAGGAUGAUCAGCCACACUGGGACUGAGACACGGCCCAGACUCCUACGGGAGGCAGCAGUGGGGAAUAUUGGACAAUGGGGGAAACCCUGAUCCAGCGACGCCGCGUGUGUGAAGAAGGCCUGCGGGUUGUAAAGCACUUUUAGUGGGGACAAAAAGCUACGGACUAAUAUUCUGUGGUCUUGAUUUAACCCAAAGAAAAAGCACCGGCUAACUCUGUGCCAGCAGCCGCGGUAAUACAGAGGGUGCGAGCGUUAAUCGGAAUUACUGGGCGUAAAGCGCGCGUAGACGGUUUUGUAAGUCAGAUGUGAAAUCCCUGGGCUCAACCUGGGAACUGCAUUUGAUACUGCAUGGCUAGAGUAUCGAAGAGGGAAGUGGAAUUUCCGGUGUAGCGGUGAAAUGCGUAGAUAUCGGAAGGAACACCAGUGGCGAAAGCGACUUCCUGGUCGAAUACUGACGUUCAUGUGCGAAAGCGUGGGGAGCAAACAGGAUUAGAUACCCUGUUAGUCCACGCCGUAAACGAUGAAUGCCAGCCGUUAGUGAUUUACUCACUAGUGGCGCAGCUAACGCUUUUAAGCAUUCGGCCUGGGG
rnacentral:rRNA from 1 species